rnacentral:rRNA from 1 species
GGUUAAGUUAACAAGGGCGCAUGGUGAAUGCCUUGGCACUAGGAGCCGAUGAAGGACGGGACUAACACCGAUAUGCUUCGGGGAGCUGUACGUAAGCUAUGAUCCGGAGAUUUCCGAAUGGGGCAACCCAGCAGUUUUAAUCAACUGUUACCACUAGAUGAAUUCAUAGUCUAGUUGGAGGUAAACGCUGUGAACUGAAACAUCUCAUUAGCAGCAGGAAUAUAAAGAAAUUUCGAUUCCCUAAGUAGCGGCGAGCGAACGGGGAACAGCCCAAACCAAAGUGCUUGCACUUUGGGGUUGUAGGACUGAACAUUUGAGUUACCAAAGAACUUGAUAGUCGAAGGAUUUGGGAAAAUCCGCCAUAGAUGGUGAUAGCCCAGUAGAUUAAAUCAAAUUCUCUCAGUUCAGGAUCCUGAGUACGGCGGAACACGUGAAAUUCCGUCGGAAUCCGGGAGGACCAUCUCCCAAGGCUAAAUACUACCUAGUGACCGAUAGUGAACCAGUACCGUGAGGGAAAGGUGAAAAGCACCCCGGGAGGGGAGUGAAAUAGUUCCUGAAACCAUGUGCCUACAAUAAGUCAGAGCGCGUUAAUGCGUGAUGGCGUGCCUUUUGUAGAAUGAACCGGCGAGUUAUGAUCCCGUGCAAGGUUAAGACUAAAAAGUCGGAGCCGUAGCGAAAGCGAGUCUGAAAUGGGCGUUUUGAGUACGAGGUUAUAGACCCGAAACCAGGUGACCUAUCCAUGUCCAGGUUGAAGGUGCGGUAAAACGCACUGGAGGACCGAACCCGUGUAAGUUGAAAAUUGCUGGGAUGAGGUGUGGAUAGCGGUGAAAUUCCAAACGAACUUGGAGAUAGCUGGUUCUCUCCGAAAUAGCUUUAGGGCUAGCCUCGGAAUUAGGAUCAUGGAGGUAGAGCACUAUUUGGACUAGGGGCCCGUCUUGGGUUACUGAAUUCAGAUAAACUCCGAAUGCCAUUGAUUCAUAUCCGGGAGUCAGACGAUGAGUGAUAAGAUCCACCGUCGAAAGGGGAACAGCCCAGACCAUCAGUUAAGGUCCCUAAAUGUAUGCUAAGUGGAAAAGGAUGUGGAGUUGCAUAGACAACUAGGAUGUUGGCUCAGAAGCAGCCACCAUUUAAAGAGUGCGUAAUAGCUCACUAGUCGAGUGAUCCUGCGCCGAAAAUGUACCGGGGCUAAGCAUACUACCGAAACCAUGGAUGCGACCAUUAGGUCGCGUGAUAGGAGAGCGUUCUAAGGGCGGUGAAGCAAGAUCGUGAGGACUUGUGGAGCGCUUAGAAGUGAGAAUGCCGGUAUGAGUAGCGAAAGAUAGGUGAGAAUCCUAUCCACCGAAUGACUAAGGUUUCCUGGGGAAGGCUCGUCCUCCCAGGGUUAGUCGGGACCUAAGUCGAGGCCGAGAGGCGUAGACGAUGGAUAACAGGUUGAAAUUCCUGUACUAGUUAAGUGCGUUUGAGCAAUGGAGGGACGCAGGAGGCUAAGAUGUGCAUUCUGUUGGAUUAGAAUGUCCAAGCAGUAAGUCUUGUGAAGAGUCAAAUGCUUUUCACUUUAAGGACAAGCUGUGAUGGGGAGCGAAAUUUAGUAGCGAAGCGUCUGAUGUCACACUGCCGAGAAAAGCUUCUAGUGAGUACUUAACUACCCGUACCGCAAACCGACACAGGUAGUCGAGGAGAGAAUCCUAAGGUGAGCGAGUGAACUCUCGUUAAGGAACUCGGCAAAAUGACCCCGUAACUUCGGGAGAAGGGGUGCUGAUCGCAAGAUCAGCCGCAGUGAAUAGGCCCAGGCGACUGUUUAUCAAAAACACAGGUCUCUGCAAAAUCGUAAGAUGACGUAUAGGGGCUGACGCCUGCCCGGUGCUGGAAGGUUAAAAGGAUGGGUUAGCUUCGGCGAAGCUCAGAAUUGAAGCCCCAGUAAACGGCGGCCGUAACUAUAACGGUCCUAAGGUAGCGAAAUUCCUUGUCGGGUAAGUUCCGACCCGCACGAAAGGCGUAACGAUCUGGGCACUGUCUCAACGAGAGACUCGGUGAAAUUAUAUUGUCCGUGAAGAUGCGGACUACCCGCGACAGGACGGAAAGACCCCAUGGAGCUUUACUGUAGCUUGAUAUUGAGUGUUUGUACAGCUUGUACAGGAUAGGUAGGAGCCAUAGAAACCGGAACGCUAGUUUCGGUGGAGGCGUUGGUGGGAUACUACCCUCGCUGUAUGACCACUCUAACCCGCACCACUAAUCGUGGUGGGAGACAGUGUCAGGUGGGCAGUUUGACUGGGGCGGUCGCCUCCUAAAAAGUAACGGAGGCGCCCAAAGGUUCCCUCAGAAUGGUUGGAAAUCAUUCGCAGAGUGUAAAGGCACAAGGGAGCUUGACUGCGAGACAGACAGGUCGAGCAGGGACGAAAGUCGGGCUUAGUGAUCCGGUGGUACCGUAUGGAAGGGCCAUCGCUCAACGGAUAAAAGCUACCCUGGGGAUAACAGGCUUAUCUCCCCCAAGAGUCCACAUCGACGGGGAGGUUUGGCACCUCGAUGUCGGCUCAUCGCAUCCUGGGGCUGUAGUCGGUCCCAAGGGUUGGGCUGUUCGCCCAUUAAAGCGGUACGCGAGCUGGGUUCAGAACGUCGUGAGACAGUUCGGUCCCUAUCCGUCGCGGGCGUAGGAAAUUUGAGAGGACCUGUCCUUAGUACGAGAGGACCGGGAUGGACAUACCUCUGGUGUACCAGUUGUGCCGCCAGGCGCAUCGCUGGGUAGCUACGUAUGGAUGUGAUAAACGCUGAAAGCAUCUAAGUGUGAAACACACCUCGAGAUGAGAUUUCCCAUUCCUUUAUGGAAGUAAGACCCCUGAAAGAUGAUCAGGUAGAUAGGUUAGAAGUGGCAGUGCGGUGACGCAUGAAGCGGACUAAUACUAAUCGGUCGAGGACUUAACCAA